rnacentral:rRNA from 1 species
UACGUAGGGUGCAAGCGUUGUCCGGAAUUAUUGGGCGCAAAGAGCUCGUAGGCGGUUUGUCGCGUCUGCUGUGAAAUCUGGAGGCUCAACCUCCAGCCUGCAGUGGGUACGGGCAGACUAGAGUGCGGUAGGGGAGAUUGGAACUCCUGGUGUAGCGGUGGAAUGCGCAGAUAUCAGGAAGAACACCGAUGGCGAAGGCAGAUCUCUGGGCCGUAACUGACGCUGAGGAGCGAAAGCAUGGGGAGCGAACAGG